CAGUCGCCACGGGAAUACGUAGGUGGCAAGCGUUGUCCGGAUUUAUUGGGCGUAAAGCGAGCGCAGGCGGUUUCUUAAGUCUGAUGUGAAAGCCCCCGUCUCAACCGGGGAGGGUCAUUGGAAACUGGGAAACUUGAGUGCAGAAGAGGAGAGUGGAAUUCCAUGUGUAGCGGUGAAAUGCGUAGAUAUAUGGAGGAACACCAGUGGCGAAGGCGGCUCUCUGGUCUGUAACUGACGCUGAGGCUCGAAAGCGUGGGGAGCAAACAGGAUUAGAUACCCCCGUAGUCCCUGUCUCUUAUAC
rnacentral:rRNA from 1 species